CGGCCGCGUCGACGUUUGAUCAUGGCUCAGAUUGAACGCUGGCGGCAGGCCUAACACAUGCAAGUCGAGCGGUAGAGAGAAGCUUGCUUCUCUUGAGAGCGGCGGACGGGUGAGUAAUGCCUAGGAAUCUGCCUGGUAGUGGGGGAUAACGUUCGGAAACGAACGCUAAUACCGCAUACGUCCUACGGGAGAAGGCAGGGGACCUUCGGGCCUUGCGCUAUCAGAUGAGCCUAGGUCGGAUUAGCUAGUUGGUGAGGUAAUGGCUCACCAAGGCGACGAUCCGUAACUGGUCUGAGAGGAUGAUCAGUCACACUGGAACUGAGACACGGUCCAGACUCCUACGGGAGGCAGCAGUGGGGAAUAUUGGACAAUGGGCGAAAGCCUGAUCCAGCCAUGCCGCGUGUGUGAAGAAGGUAAAGUGAUGGGAACAGCCGGCUUGGUAA
rnacentral:rRNA from 1 species